CAACAGGUCAACAUGACAAGACUCCAAACGCAUGCUUUAAGGUAGUAGGAAUACAACCAGUUAACUUGGCAAACGAGUUGGACCAUUUGAAGCAAUAAAAAACAGAGAAAUUAUGACCGCUUGGGCUGCUAUGCUUAACUACGAACCGGGAACACCAGCAAGACUGUUCUGCAAUGCUGGGAUGCUGGCUAAUCCAAAAUUUGAUUUGAAUAUUAGUUAAGAUGACGUGGAAGACAAGUGUUCUUACUAUGGACGGGUGAAGCAUAUAUAUGGACUUGAAGAAAACAGUCUUGAAAUAGUUAUUAGUUUAUGUGUAAAGUCGUUUUCCUUUAUAACUUUUGUAGAUAGGUUUU
rnacentral:lncRNA from 1 species